rnacentral:tRNA from 1 species
UGGGGUAUAGCCAAGCGGUAAGGCACUAGACUUUGACUCUAGCAUUCGUAGGUUCAAAUCCUGCUACUCCAGCCA